rnacentral:lncRNA from 1 species
CUCUCUCUCUUUAGGGUUUUCAAUCACAAAUCCGAAUGGCAGCACAUCGUCACCAAUUGUUCACAUACGCCCUCCAACCUUCUCUCGCCGCCGCCUCCACCGUUUCCCCCGCUCCUCCUCCGCCGCAACCGCUACCGCAACCGCAGCAAAGUCUCUCCCUUUCUUCUCUCUACGCCUCCUCCGCCGCCGACCGCUACUACCCCGACGCCACGUUCCGCUUCUUAUCCCGCGACGGAUCCGAAGCUUUGACCAACUACCAAGCAACGGUUGCUUCUUCUUCCUCUUCUUCGGCCAUGUACCACCACCACCAUCUCCCCAACGCGGCGGCGGCGUCGCAUUUGGCUUACCCUCCUCAGCUGAUUCAUCAGGAAGCUUGGCCGCCUGGCGUCGAGCCUCCCGCCGCCGCCGCCGCCGCCGCUCUUCCUCCUGGAGUCAAACGCACCUCUGAAGGUCUGUCCUUUUACCAAUUCUCAGAUCUGCAUCGUUUGAUUCAUUAAAGUCUUCACCUUUAUUGCUUUUGGAGAGCCUUAAAGUCUUCACCUUUCCGUUUCCUAUGCUCUCAUCGUGAUUCAAUCUUGAUGGUUCCUUCAAUUGCAGCAUUAAAAAACGUUGCUUUAACUGAGAUUAAGGCAUUAGAACACACUGCUUGCUAUUCUAGGAUAGAUCUUGACUUACACUGUUUGUGUUACUUACCCCAACGAUUUUUGAAUUGGUUAGUCAAUGGGUUCUUUUGUGUUUGGGAUACCACUAAGCUUUACAGAAGUUAGAAUCAUCUCUAAGGAUAUUUGACUACUGUAAUGCUAUUAAUUACAUCUCUGUUAAAGUAUAUUUGACUACUGUAAUGUUAUUAAUUAGUCUUUGUUUGCUUUAAUAUUUUAGAAAAGACAGUUAGUUUUUUGUUCCCUUAAAAGUUAUCUUUUCUUGCAACUCUUUCCAAUAAACUUUUUCAAAAGGAAGACAUACCUACUGUAAACUCUAAGUUAUGUUUUCUGCUGUAUUAUUUCGUAUAUUUCAUUAUCCUCAAGUUUAUUUUCAAGAUAUAAAUAUACAGCAGCAUAUAUAUAUAUAUAUAUAUAUACCUUCUCAUGUUGUUGUAUAUUACUGUUUAUUAUGUAAUAUAGCGCUCUACUAUCCGACUCUCUACGGUGCCCAUAAUCCAAUGGGUCAGACGGAAGCUUGGUAUACUACGGACUACUUAACCAAGCGCCUUAAGUUGGAGAGUACGACGCAUUUGCCUGUCUAUCCACAGCGGGCAGGGGAGAAGGAUUGUACCCACUAUAUGCAAACAAGAACUUGUAAAUUUGGAGAGGGCUGCAAAAGUAGCACCAGAAUCUAACCACCAAGUGUUCCUAGGUACUUCAAUUAAGUUCAUUUCUGAGCAAACCAAAGCAAGGAACAUACCUUUCUUAGCACGCCAAGCGUGAUAUUUAGGGCAAUCCUUCUUUAUGUGUCCACCCUUCCUGCAAAAGAAACAUGUAUCUUCAACCUUAGCAUGUUUCUUUUGGGUAGGACCCUUAGCAGCAUUAUCCUUAGUGGGCUCAAAUUUCUUUCUUUUGCCCUGUCCCUUAGAGGUGUAAACCAUAUGAGAACUUUCGGUCCUCUCUUGUUUCAUCCUCUCUUCCUCUUGCACACAAUAUGCAAUGAGCUCGUUAAGAGACCAUUGCUCCUUCUGUGUGUUAUAACUUGAUUUCAGCUGACUGAACUGAGGAGGAAGAGAGUUCAAGACAAAGUAUAUGAGCAAUUCAGCCGGAAGCUCAGUCUUAAGUGUCUUGAGUUUCGAAACAAUGUUGGACAUUUCCAAAAUGUACUCCCUUAUUUUUCCAUUGCCAUGGUACCUCAUCGUACUAAAGCGAUGCAAAAGCAUGCUAAUUUCCGCCUUAUCGCUUCUUGCGAAACGGGAAUCCAUCUCGGCAAGGAACUGUUUGAGAUCAUUGAUCUCCUCACCACCUCUGAAGGCUUCUGGAAUGGUGUCCUUAAUGAUCAUCAAACCAAUGCGGUUAGAACGCUCCCACUUCUCAUGAACAGCCUUAUAUUCCGAAGUGCUGUCAUCCGUAGGAGAAGAAGGUUUGUCCAUCCUGAGCGCAAGGUCAAGAUCCAUACACCCAAGAACAAUCUUCACUUUACUUUUCCAUUCCGAAAAAUUGGAACCCGUAAGAAUUGGAAUGGAUCCUAAGUUGGCAGAUAAAGUAGCUGAAAAGAGAGAACAAAACCGAGUUAACUCAAUAUCCGAAGAAAUCAAUGAUAAAUUUUAACUGAUUAUACUUCCCAUCCAAGAUACCAAAUGUAACAUCAAUAUCAAGUCUUUGGACAGUAAUAUUGACUACUAGCAGUACUCUUGUAAUAACAAUCAAAUAUUGACAAUAAUCCACGAUAAACAAUAAACCUUCCUUUGGGCCGAUUUAUUAUUUACAUGUUGAAACCAUAUAAUUGUCAUGUAUUCAUCAUCAUAAUUGUAUGUACAAUUCGGCCAAAAAUUAAGUCUUCCUUUGGGCCGACUCAACAUCCGCAUGAAUAUUGCACACACGUAUAUAUAUAAAUUUCGGCCAAACACAACCUUCCUUUGGGCCGAUUAAAUAUUCGCCAUGAACUUACAUACAUACUUCCUUUAAUAAUUCUCAUGAAAAAUCUUCUCAAGAGAGGUCUUCCUUUGGGCCGACAUCUUGAUUAAAUUAACCAAUCAAAUUAUUAAAUAUGUAUAAUCAAAUUUAUUAAUUGAUUUAAAGCUGAAUUUUAUUCUUGCACAUACAUAUAAGUGAACGUAUGUAGGUUCUUUAUGCAAGAAUACUUAAGCGGGAGAGUGGUUGGAGGCAGCAAGGGAGGUGCCAGCUUUAGUCACGCGACCUGGGUUCGAAUCCCACACUCUUGUUUUUUAACUUAAUUAAAGCUGGAUGGGCCUAACUUAAUGUUUGUACCAAACUGGCCCAACUGAUUUAAAACAUAAGAAAAUGGGCCAAAAUAAUUAAAUUCGCAGGCCCAGAAUAAUUAAUUAAAUCAGAAAUUUUAUUUGGGCCAAACAACUAACAAGCCCAUCACGAAUCUGCCUCCCACCUUGGGUAUUGUCAAACAAUUUUUUCAACUUUAAUACCUAAAAAACAGAUCUAACCAAAUCUGGAAAAAAUUGUUCCACAAAAAAAAAAAAAUGAAAAUUUUCAACAAAAUUUCAGAAAGUAUAAACCUUAUGAACAAUAUUUUCCAUCAAUAAAACCUUAAACCUUAUUUAGAUAUAAAUCUUAAACAUAGAUAACAACCAAAGAUCUAUAUCUAACAUGCAUGGUCCCAAAAUUCAACAUAAACUUUAGAAAAAAACAGAUUGAACAAUCCAAUAUUUUCACAUAAUAAUUAAAUUCGAAUUUAAAAUACAAACUUUAGAUUAAAUUCGAAAUUAUUUUAGAUCCAAAUAGAAAAUCAAUAUGGUGGCUCUGAUACCAAUUGUUAAUUUUAUUUCUUUAUGAUUCAUCAAUUUGAAUCUCAUAACCAUAUAAUUCUCUAUUUGAAUAGACAAAGGGGAAAACAUACCUUGUGAAUCCAUGACUCAAUGAUCUAUGGCAAGAGAAUGGAUCUUCCAAUACAAACCCCUUGUUGACCUUAGCUCUCCAUUGAUGGGAUAUGGAGUUUUUCACUUAAUGUCAAGUUAGGUUGCAUUGGGGACCAUAACCCAUGAUGUAGAAGUAAUUUCUUGUUCAACCCUUCACUAAACUAGAAAUCACAUAAGGCAUCCACAUAUAAUAUUUCAUAACAUUUUAUGCCCAAACUUAUUAAUGGUCAUAUCACAUUUAUUCCUUAACAUAUGUGACCCAACCAAAAUGAUCUUACAUAAAGUGCAACAAGACCAGUGAGGAAGAAUCAAAGUUGAAGUCUCUGUUCGGUCUCUUUGUUAACUUCGGUGUUUAUUAUUAUUAUUAUGUAAUAAUAAAACAAAAAAAGCUCACAACUUUAUAAAUCUAUUUAUUGAUAAUGAUAAGAAACAAAGAGUAAUUUAAUAAAAAAAGAAAAAAGAAACUAAAGAGAAUCAGUGAAGAGAUGUCAAAUCAGUUUCGUGGGAUCUGAGAGAGAGAGAGAGAGAGAAGAAGAGAGAAACAAACCUCUCUCUCUUUAGGGUUUUCAAUCACAAAUCCGAAUGGCAGCACAUCGUCACCAAUUGUUCACAUACGCCCUCCAACCUUCUCUCGCCGCCGCCUCCACCGUUUCCCCCGCUCCUCCUCCGCCGCAACCGCUACCGCAACCGCAGCAAAGUCUCUCCCUUUCUUCUCUCUACGCCUCCUCCGCCGCCGACCGCUACUACCCCGACGCCACGUUCCGCUUCUUAUCCCGCGACGGAUCCGAAGCUUUGACCAACUACCAAGCAACGGUUGCUUCUUCUUCCUCUUCUUCGGCCAUGUACCACCACCACCAUCUCCCC